UGAUCCCACACAUCCCACAGGAGGGGUGGGGAGCAGAUCCCACAGGCAGGAGGGGAGCUGAUCCCACAGAUCCUACAGGCAGGAGGGGAGCUGACCCCACAGACCCCACAGGAGCAGGGCGGGCACAGGGAAGUGCCCCCUGUGCCCCCGUGCCCGGGCUCCUGGAGCCUGGCUGGGAGCACCCAGGGCUGACUCAGGGGACCUCAGUGCCCAGAGCACCCCAGCUCACACCCACAAAGGGACACCCCUCACCCCAAAAGCUGAACAACUUCAUUUGACAUUAUCUGUUCACCUGUUUGGUUUU